AUACGUAGGGGGCGAGCGUUGUCCGGAAUGAUUGGGCGUAAAGGGCGCGUAGGCGGCGCGGUAAGUCUGGAGUGAAAGUCCUGCUUUCAAGGUGGGAAUUGCUUUGGAUACUGCCGCGCUUGAGUGCAGGAGAGGUUAUCGGAAUUCCCGGUGUAGCGGUGAAAUGCGUAGAGAUCGGGAGGAACACCAGUGGCGAAGGCGGGUAACUGGACUGCAACUGACGCUGAGGCGCGAAAGUGUGGGGAGCAAACAGGAUUAGAUACCCUGGUAGUCCACACUGUAAACGAUGAAUGCUAGGUGUAAGAGGUAUCGACCCCUUUUGUGCCGGAGUCAACACAAUAAGCAUUCCGCCGGGGGAGUACGGCCGCAAGGUUGAAACUCAAAGGAAUUGACGGGG
rnacentral:rRNA from 1 species